rnacentral:rRNA from 1 species
CCUACGGGUGGCAGCAGUGAGGAAUAUUGGUCAAUGGGCGGAAGCCUGAACCAGCCAAGUAGCGUGCAGGAUGACGGCCCUACGGGUUGUAAACUGCUUUUAUACGGGAAUAACGCGCCUUACGUGUAGGGCUUUGCAUGUACCGUAUGAAUAAGGACCGGCUAAUUCCGUGCCAGCAGCCGCGGUAAUACGGAAGGUCCGGGCGUUAUCCGGAUUUAUUGGGUUUAAAUGGAGCGUAGGCCGCAUGUCAAGCGUGCUGUGAAAUGUCCGGGCUCAACCCGGGCCUUGCAGCGCGAACUGUCGUGCUUGAGUCCGCGGAAAGCAGGCGGAAUUCGUCGUGUAGCGGUGGAAUGCUUAGAUAUGACGAAGAACCCCGAUUGCGAAGGCAGCUUGCUGCAGCGGAACUGACGCUGAUGCUCGAAAGCGCGGGUAUCGAACAGGAUUAGAUACCCUAGUAGUC